rnacentral:rRNA from 1 species
GAUGAACGCUGGCGGCGUGCCUAAUACAUGCAAGUCGAGCGAACAGACGAGGAGCUUGCUCCUCUGACGUUAGCGGCGGACGGGUGAGUAACACGUGGAUAACCUACCUAUAAGACUGGGAUAACUUCGGGAAACCGGAGCUAAUACCGGAUAAUAUAUUGAACCGCAUGGUUCAAUAGUGAAAGACGGUUUUGCUGCCACUUAUAGAUGGUUCCGCGCCGCAUUAGCUAGUUGGUAAGGUAACGGCUUACCAAGGCAACGAUGCGUAGCCGACCUGAGAGGGUGAUCGGCCACACUGGAACUGAGACACGGUCCAGACUCCUACGGGAGGCAGCAGUAGGGAAUCUUCCGCAAUGGGCGAAAGCCUGACGGAGCAACGCCGCGUGAGUGAUGAAGGUCUUCGGAUCGUAAAACUCUGUUAUUAGGGAAGAACAAAUGUGUAAGUAACUAUGCACGUCUUGACGGUACCUAAUCAGAAAGCCACGGCUAACUACGUG